AUUGAACGCUGGCGGCAUGCCUUACACAUGCAAGUCGAACGGUAACAGGCCGCAAGGUGCUGACGAGUGGCGAACGGGUGAGUAAUGCAUCGGAACGUGCCCAGUCGUGGGGGAUAACUGCUCGAAAGAGCAGCUAAUACCGCAUACGACCUGAGGGUGAAAGCGGGGGACCGUAAGGCCUCGCGCGAUUGGAGCGGCCGAUGUCAGAUGAGCGUGUUGGUGGGGUAAAGGCCUACCAAGGCAACGAUCUGUAGUUGGUCUGAGAGGACGACCAGCCACACUGGGACUGAGACACGGCCCAGACUCCUACGGGAGGCAGCAGUGGGGAAUUUUGGACAAUGGGCGCAAGCCUGAUCCAGCAAUGCCGCGUGCAGGAAGAAGGCCUUCGGGUUGUAAACUGCUUUUGUCAGGGAAGAAAUCUUCUGGGCUAAUACCCCGGGAGGAUGACGGUACCUGAAGAAUAAGCACCGGCUAACUACGUGCCAGCAGCCGCCGUAAUAC
rnacentral:rRNA from 1 species